GGGAGAAUAGUUAAUUAUAACAUUUAAAUUGCAAUUAGAAGGUACAAACUUGUUUCUCUCA
rnacentral:tRNA from 1 species